UUGCCAGCCCGCUCAGAAACUCAAAGGAAUUGACGGGGCCGCACAAGCGGUGGAGCAUGUGGUUAAUUCGAUGAUACGCGAGGAACCUUACCUGGGCUCAAAUGUAUGUUGACGUAUUCUGAAAGGGAUACUUCUUCGGACAAUAUACAAGGUGCUGCAUGGUUGUCGUCAGCUCGUGCCGUGAGGUGUCGGGUUAAGUCCCAUAACGAGCGCAACCCCUAUCAUUAGUUGCCAUCAGGUCAAGCUGGGGACUCUAAUGAAACUGCCUACGCAAGUAGUGAGGAAGGUGGGGAUGACGUCAAAUCAGCACGGCCCUUACGUCCAGGGCUACACACGUGCUACAAUGGCCGGUACAAAGGGCAGCUACCUGGUGACAGGAUGCUAAUCUCAAAAGCCGGUCUCAGUUCGGAUUGGAGGCUGCAACUCGCCUCCAUGAAGUCGGAAUCGCUAGUAACCGCAGAUCAGCUACGUUGCGGUGAAUACGUUCCCGGGCCUU
rnacentral:rRNA from 1 species